GACGACCGCUGGCGGCGUGCUUAACACAUGCAAGUCGAACGAAGUGGCGAACGGGUGAGUAACGCGUAAUCAACCUGCCCUUCAGAGGGGGACAACAGUUGGAAACGACUGCUAAUACCGCAUACUGAAGGAGGGGAUUUCGUCUGAUUAGCUAGUUGGAGGGGUAACGGCCCACCAAGGCGAUGAGCAGUAGCCGGUCUGAGAGGAUGAACGGCCACAUGGGGACUGAGACACGGCCCAGACUCCUACGGGAGGCAGCAGUGGGGAAUCUUCCGCAAUGGAGGAAAGUCUGACGGAGCAACGCCGCGGGAGUGAUGAGGGCAUUCGGGUUGUAAAGCUCUGUUAAUCGGGACGCGGUACCGGAAUAGAAAGCCACGGCUAACUACGUGCCAGCAGCCGCGGUAAUUC
rnacentral:rRNA from 1 species